AAUAUUGGACAAUGGGCGCAAGCCUGAUCCAGCCAUGCCGCGUGAGUGAUGAAGGCCCUAGGGUUGUAAAGCUCUUUUGUGCGGGAAGAUAAUGACGGUACCGCAAGAAUAAGCCCCGGCUAACUUCGUGCCAGCAGCCGCGGUAAUACGAAGGGGGCUAGCGUUGCUCGGAAUCACUGGGCGUAAAGGGUGCGUAGGCGGGUCUUUAAGUCAGGGGUGAAAUCCUGGAGCUCAACUCCAGAACUGCCUUUGAUACGGAGGAGCGUGAGUUCGGGAGAGGUGGGUGGAACUGCGAGUGUAGAGGUGAAAUUCGUAGGUAGUCGCAAGAACCCCAGUGGGGAAGGCGGCGCACUGGCCCGAUACUGACGCUGAGG
rnacentral:rRNA from 1 species